rnacentral:lncRNA from 1 species
GAACACAAUGAAAUUGAAACGUACACGGUUAUUUAAUAGAGUCAUUUACAUAUAGAAUCACUUUAUAAGUUUUUAUUACACUGUGGGACAGUUGUUGCUACUGAGGUAGUUUCUUUUAACCAAGUCAAAACUAGAUGUUGCUUGUUUGGUUUCUUUUCUAGUUAGCUCAAUUUAUUUUUAAUCGUUUUCUUUUUAAAAAAAAAUGGAACAUAAAAUUUGAAGAUCUAAAAAUUAACAAAUAAGAAAGACGAUGGUGGCUUCCUGCCACAAGACACUCGUGGUCACCAUGCCAAAAUUAUGUACCUCUUAUGUCACGGAGUUUCUUGAACUGUGCCAUCACUACGCAACCAUCUCCGCCGCGUCUCCUCCGUCUCUCGAUUCACAACCACAACCAAGUUUAAUUCUC